rnacentral:lncRNA from 1 species
UUCAUAUAGAACUGUAUUUUCAACAAGAAAUAUGACAACACCUCACUCCGUGUGUUCUACGCAGGAAACCUACGUUCUUAUGGCAGCGCUGUUUGCAAUCGAUGGUAUUUUACUUUUGAUGGCGCAGAAUGUACAAAACCAGCGACUAUUGAAGGUGUUGUUUACGUUAAAUCGACCCAAAUCAACCCCCAUUAUCACCGCCAUAUUGAAGGCUACUGUAACCAGGUUCCUAAAGGUCACAUACGUGUGGGGUUCUGGAUAGGCAAGUGUCAGAGUCAUGGUCUCGGAGAUGGUUAUACUGGAUAUAUUUCGAUGUCUCGUAUUGUAAUUGAAGAAGUACCACCUCCUCAAGCUUAAUAUCAUUCAAGUAAAGGAGUAUUAUCCAUAAAUUAUACUAUAUAACCAAAUUAUACCAGUAUAACCUUUUACAAAAGAGACUUGGAGAAAAAACUGAAAUCAUUAUCAGUUAUAUUUUUGUAAUUGUUGAUGUAAUGUUCAUUGUCAGAC